rnacentral:tmRNA from 1 species
GGGGCUGUCCUGGUUUCGACGUGGGUUCGGGAUCAGUGUGGUGCAUGCCGAGCUUGAGUGACGCUCGUAAAUCUCCAUUCAAAAAACUAACUGCAAACGACGAACGUUUCGCACUCGCCGCUUAAAUCCGGUGAGCCUUGCAACAGCACGCUGAUGGGCUGGGCAAGGGGGUAGCAAUACCUCCAGGCUGCAAGGGAAUUUUCAUCAGCUGGUUCUAGGCUGGGUACCUUAGUCCGGAACGAGAAAAUAGGGUGCUGGCUUUGUUUGCAGCGUGCGUCUGCGCGGUAAACGAGGCGAGAUUUAAAAUAGCACGCUAAGCAUGUAGAUCUGCCUGACGAAGGCUUGCGGACGCGGGUUCAAUUCCCGCCAGCUCCACCA